GUCCGGCCCGCCCGCAGGCCAGCUUCUCUCGGGAGCCUCCACCCAGGCGCAUGGCUCCAUGAAGCAAGAGGAGGAGGCAGAGCGCGAGAGAUCCCGUCCGCCCCAGCCGCGUCUGGGCCAGGAGAAAAGCAAAACCAUAUUCCUGCUGCUGUCAGUUUUGAUGCACUGAGAAAACUUCAGAGACCUAAGCUUUUUCCAGAGAAGAGAAGCUUUACUGGUGUUCCAGCCCUAAGGCUCAUAUGACAUUAACAGACAAGACACUUUUCAGAAAGACAGAAACUACUCUGAAAAACUCUCUUAAUGCUUUUUACGGCCGGGUGCGGUGGCUGGAGCCUGUAAUCCAAGCACUUUGGGAGGCCGAGGUGGGUGGAUCACCUGAGAUCUGGAGUUCGAGACCAGCCUGGCCAACAAGGUGAAACCCCACCUCUAUUAAAAAUACAAAAAUUAGCUGGGUGUGGUGGCACACACCUGUACUCCCAGCUACUUGAGAGGUUGAGGCAGGAGAAUCGCUUGAACUCGGGAGACGGAGGUUGCAGUGAGCCAAUAUUGCGCCAUUGCACUCCAGCCUGGGCAACAAGAGCGAAAUUCCAUCUCAAAAAAUAAAUAAAUAAAUAAAUAAAUAAAUAAAUAAAUAAAUAAAUAUUAAAAAAAUA
rnacentral:lncRNA from 1 species